UACAGGGGGUGCAAACGUUGCUCGGAAUUAUUGGGCGUAAAGCGCACGUAGGCGGUUUGUUAUGUCGGAUGUGAAAGCCCUUGGCUUAACCGAGGAAGUGCAUCCGAAACUGGCGAGCUAGAGUACGGAAGAGGAUCGCGGAAUUCCCGGUGUAGAGGUGAAAUUCGUAGAUAUCGGAGAGGAACACCGGUAGGCGAAGGCGGCGGAUCUGGGUCGAUACUGACGCUGAGGUGACGAAAGGCGUGGGGAGCAAACAAGG
rnacentral:rRNA from 1 species